rnacentral:rRNA from 1 species
UACGUAGGGUGCGAGCGUUGUCCGGAAUUACUGGGCGUAAAGAGCUCGUAGGUGGUUUGUCGCGUUGUUCGUGAAAACUCACAGCUCAACUGUGGGCGUGCGGGCGAUACGGGCAGACUGGAGUACUGCAGGGGAGACUGGAAUUCCUGGUGUAGCGGUGGAAUGCGCAGAGAUCAGGAGGAAUACCGGUGGCGAAAGCGACUCUCUGGACGGCAACUGACGCUGAGGCACGAAAGCGUGGGGAGCAAACAGG